GUACCUAUGAGGACAUUUGCAUAUCUCAAAAAACAUGGCCGUCAUUGGCCAAACAAAUUUAAGCACCUAUUUGAAAGGGUUAACGGAUGUUGAUCGGAACGAAACUCGCUGGGUACGUUCGACUCAUGAACCUUAAGGUCUGUAAGAAUUUUGAAAGAAAUCGGCCACUAGUUGGCGCUAACGAGUUUUAUGGCUCUGUAAUCACGUGGUGUUUCACAUAUCAACACAAUAUGCAUAUCAUUUGAUAGAUCUCCUCGUAUUGCACAACUUUGCCUCAAGAACCAUUGCUGUCAAUCAAAUCGUUCAAUUGUUAUUCACAAAUAUGUUAAAAACCUACUUUUGCGAACUAGUCCUAGGUUUUUUGCCCGAUCGGAACCAAACCACUGCAGUAAUAUUCUGUGGACUCUCUAGAUCAAUAAUUAUUAAAAAAAUGUUGAAUUUUGUCCUUUGGUUAGUUGUAACCGGGUAAUUUAGAAAAAGGGGUGUGGCCAAACAUACCCCAAAGCCUAUAAAACCUAAAGGAAAACUCAAAACUGUAUGAAACUCAGUGAAAUCAUGUAUCAGGUGACUCUUAACAAGCAUGCAAAGUUUCAUGGAGAUCAGACCAUAGGUGGCGCUAUAACAGUAGAAAAGGUCUCAAAACACAAGAUUUAUAUGGUAAAUGGCCCCAAAUUGUUUGAAAAUGCUCAUAUAUUCACUCAAAAACACUAAAUCUUCAUAUCAUAUGAUAGAUCUCCUCAUUCUGAACAACUUUGCCUCUGGGACCAAUGUUGUCAAUAAAGCUGUUAAUUAAUUAUUCAAGAUUAUUUUAAAAAGUUACUUUGGCAUACUUGUGAUACGGUUUAAGAUGAAAAUCAAUAAAACCACUGAAGUACAAUUCUGUAGACUCUGAAGGUCAAUAAUUAUCAAAAACAUGUUGAACAAUUGCAUUUGGACAACUAUAAACCAGUAAUUUUAUAAUAUGUUCUUUUCAUAGUGUACACAAAGGCCUAUUAAUACAAACAGAAAGCCCACACAUUAUCAAAACUGUGUAAAACAAUGCAUAAUUUCAUUCUAAACAAGCAUGCAAAAUUUAAGAGAGAUUGGGCAAAAAAAAAAAAAAAACACUAUAACAGUUAUGUUUAAAAACAGUGUUGCUUGAGUAAAUGCAAUUUAUAACCUCUAGAUGGCAGUGGAAGACCACUAAUGGGCUCAUUCAGUUAAGUUGAACAGUACUGUUGAAAGGAUUCAUGAAUUCAUCCCAAAACAUUAAAAAUGUAACUGUUAUAACAUUUUAAAUCUCAUUGAGUCAAUGUUUUCCAUUUUGUUCUUACAGAUAUAUCAGUUUUUACAAUUUUGCCACAUUAUGAUUACAGUUUAACCUGAAAAUGACAUCUAAAC